GACGAACGCUGGCGGCGUGCUUAACACAUGCAAGUCGAACGGUGAAGCAGAGCUUGCUCUGUGGAUCAGUGGCGAACGGGUGAGUAACACGUGAGUAACCUGCCCUUCACUCUGGGAUAAGCGUUGGAAACGACGUCUAAUACCGGAUACGAGCUGAGACCGCAUGGUCAGCAGUAGGAAAGAUUUUUUGUUAAAGGAUGGAUUCGCGGCGUAUCAGCUUGUUGGUGAGGUAAUGGCUGGCGAAGGCGUCGACGGGUAGCCCUCCCGAGAGGGUGAGCGGCCACACUAGUACUGAGACACGGCCCAGACUCCUACGGGAGGCAGCAGUGGAGAAUAUUGCACAAUGGGCGCAAGCCUGUUGCAGCAGCGCCGCGUGCGGGAUGCCGGCCUUCGGGUUGUAAACCUCUUUUAGUAGGGAAGAAGCGACAGUGACGGUACCUGCAGAAAAAGCACCGGCUAACUACGUG
rnacentral:rRNA from 1 species